CGAACCGGCGAAUGACGAGCCAGAUGUUUGCGUCAUUCGUCAGACACACCGCCGAAGCGAGAGAGACCGGCCGCGCAUCUGAGCGUUGGACUGUUCGGGCACCCGUCUGCCUGUUUUUCUAUUUUGGGAUUUAGCCUAGUUUGGUGGCCUCCGGGCUAAUUAUUGCGUUCAUUCGGAACUUCGACAUGGCAGCACUGCACUAUUGGACUACGGCAAGCUCACGUCGUCUGGUGGAGCUUCCUGCGGAAACUACUGCUGCUUACCUGGUGCCACAACGCUGGAUGAAUGCACAAAAAGCCCGCGACGAGCAUUUACAAAGAACAAAAUAAACGUUAAUUUUUCCUCAUUUCACAAGGUGUCUUGCGUCUUUAUGAAAUUGCACGUGGCACAUAUUCAGUGGAGGCUUAAUAGAAUGAUUUGCAAAUAAAUAUUAAAUUAAUAAAAGAUAAAUAUAUAAAGAAAUAUUUGCUGCAAAAGUAAAAAAAGAAA